rnacentral:rRNA from 1 species
UAUAAGCGAGGAAAAGAAACUAACUAGGAUUCCCUUAGUAGCUGCGAGCGAAUAGGGAAAAGCCCAGCACCGAAUCUUGCGGCCGACACCGGUCGCCGAGAAAUGUGGUGUUUGGGAGGGUCCGUUAUCUCGAGGUAAUGUGUCGCGUCCAAGUCCUUCUUGAACGGGGCCACAGCCCAUAGAGGGUGCCAGGCCCGUAGUGACCGGCGCUUACCGCGAGAGGAUCUCUCCUCAGAGUCGGGUUGCUUGAGAGUGCAGCCCUAAGUGGGUGGUAAACUCCAUCUAAGGCUAAAUAUGACCACGAGACCGAUAGCGAACAAGUACCGUGAGGGAAAGUUGAAAAGCACUUUGAAGAGAGAGUUCAAGAGUACGUGAAACCGUUUAGGGGUAAACCUGAGAAACCCGAAAGGUCGAAGGGAGAAAUUCAUUCGCGUUUCGGCUGAUGGCGUAUGACGUUUGAGCGUCGCAUCGUCUUCGGGCGAAGCGAGCCUUACGUUUGUCGUGUUCCGUCGUCGAACGCGUGCACUUUUCUCCUUGUAGGACGCCGCGAUCCGUUGGGCGUCGGUUUAAGGUUUACGGUGGAGCUCCGGGGUGUUUUUUAGCACGCCGGAACCCGUGACACACCCGACCGACACGCUCGACGGUAGAAUGAUGGCGCGAGGCCGCUACUUGUUAGCGUCCGACCCGUGGCAAGCUAACCGAAUGUGUUGGUGCACCGGACCUAGUGCCGGUCCCGACCUUCGGCGACUGUUGGCUGCGGCGUUCUCGGACAGACUUCGUUACGCCGAUCUGCGACGCUUUAGCUUUGGGGUACUUUCAGGACCG